rnacentral:pre_miRNA from 1 species
GAAUUCAGAUGAAAAAGUCAUCAACAACAAAGUUGUAUAACUCAUCAAGAUCUAUAACUUAUAUUAUAUUCAUUUCCUCAUCCAACAAAGUGAUGGAAACAUUUUCACAAAAUUUACAUCUCUCUCUCCAUAGUUUAUAAAACUAUAUACGAGAUAUACAUUUUGUGAACAAUGUUACAGAUAACUUUGUUGGAUGAAGAAAUGACCAAAAUAAAAGUUAUAGAUCCUGAUGAGUUAUAGAACUUUGUUGUUGAUGACUUUUUCAGUUGAAAUC